GAGGGUAUAGCUCAGUGGUAGAGCGUGUGCUCAGCAUGCACAAGGUCCUGGGUUCAAUCCCCAGUACCUCCA
rnacentral:tRNA from 1 species